GGAUUUUUAAAAACUCGAACCUGAACCCGACUACCAAAUCCAAAACCCGAACCCGAACCUGAACCCAACGGAUUUUAAAAAUCUAUAUCCAAACCCGAACCCGACCAAAAAUCCGAAACCCGGACUCGAACCCGAAAACCCGAACAUGAAUCCGAAAGAAACCUGAAUCCGACCAAAAACCCAAAACCCGAUUCUAAACCCAAAAAUCCAAACCCGAAAAUAAUAUUUACCAAAUUUCGAAACAUAUUAUACAAAAAAUUAAAACAAAAGAUUUUUAAAAAAUUAAAAAAAAUAGUUUCAUUUCCUAACAACCCACAAGAUCUAAGAGAGUAAAGUUAAAAUACUAAUUAAGAGAAAAAUAAAACAAAAAUUUCUUAAAAUUUUUUUAAAAAAGAUAGUUCUAUUGUCCAACAACCUACAAGAACUAAGAAACUAAACUUUAAAAAUAAGAAAAAAAAAAGGACAUAUAUGAAGAAUCAAAAAAACCCACAUCAAAGAAGCAACUUCAAUUUUCAAUUUUUUUUUAAAAAAAUCCUCACCUUUUUUCCUCUUAGGUUUGAGAUUGUGGUUCUUAGAGAGAAAACAAUAAGCCAAAAUACCCUCUUGGAGAAGAAUGAACAAGAGACUACACAAGUCUACAACCACUUCUCUAGUUCUCUUUUAAGGUUUCAAUUAUUAGGGUUCGGAGAUGGAGAGGGUUUGGAAAAUGAGAAUGCUUUGAAAUAGUUCUCUUUUGAGGUUUUAACUAUUAGGGUUUGGGAAUGGAGAGGGUUUGGGAAAUGGGAAGGUUUUGAUUUUUGAAUAUUAGGGUUUGAGUUUGGGAAAUGGGAAGGUUUUGAUUUUUGAAUAUUAGGGUUUGGGUUAUAAAGAUAUAUGCAUUUUGGUUUAGAUUAUAACAGUGGAAGUAUUUUUUUGGCCUUUAGAUUCGGAUCUAAUAGUUUUAAUUUUUUUAUAUAUUAUAUUAUAUUAAAUUUUUUCGGGUUCGGGUUCGGAUUUUUUAAAAAUAUCCACAUCCGAACUCGAAUCCGUCGGAUUUUUUUUUUUAAAUAUCCAUACCCGAAUCCAUAUCCAUUUACAUCGGAUAAAAUCCGCUUCAUUCGGGUUUGGAUUCGGAUAAAAUUCGGGUAUCCAUACCUAUUUACAUCCCUAUGAAUUGCACGAGGGCAAUUUUAAUAACGCGAGAGAUAUUACUUAGCUAUUGCAACUAAAACAUAUAAGCUUCAUAUACAUCAACCCAAAAUACAUCCAUUUCCAUACAUUUUACACACAUGCAAAAUACAAUGGCAUAUACAUUUUCAUCUCCCAAAGUGAAGCCUCUACAAGUUCUCUCAUAAUAUACAAGCACCUCUCUACUACAUAGGGUAUACUAACACAUGGAAGUCCACUACCUAGCACGCAAUGCACUUACUGUGAUCCUCGACCGCUCUGCUCAUGCUAAACAAGGGGAUGAGAAUUAAAAAAAAUUUCCAGUGGGUUCAACCACCGACGUCGCCAACUUUCCCACUAAGUCUAAUCAGGUAUAAGUAGUAAGAAAAAAUGAACAAUAAUAAGCAACUGAUGCAACUACUAUGCCUCUACAAUAUGAAACUGGGUAAACAAAUAUGCUACUAUGCUCAUGAUGCAUGUCAUUUCUGUUAGAUGUACGCCCUAGAAGCCAACCAGGCCGACAUAUGUAUUCUUUCUAGUAUAUAAAUUUGUAUUUGACUUUAAAAUAUUAUGAGUAAAUUCGGGUUCUUAUUUCCAUUCAUGUUGUGUAUGUGCCCAUGAAUCGUCCAAGAAAUUAGUAAGAUGAUGACAUAUAUUCUCAAGAGUUGAGAUUUAAGACAUGUGUCGUUGGUGGUUAAUUCCUAAAUGCUCCCGAUCAUGGAUCAUUACGGGGACGGUGAUUGAUCCGGUGAGAUUGGUGCAUAGGUCGCUUCCUUUUUUGGAUAGACGAGUCUCGAGUCGACAGUGUGGGGACACUGAAGCGAAUAUGUAGGUGGUUGUUAGAGAAUAAAGGUACCGAGCGUGACCAACGCGAGAAGUCACUUGGAUGUCUACUCACUCGUCAGUGGCUUACUCAAUGUUGCAGUAGUAUGACUGGUCUUUUGACCUGCGGUGUCUCGGCUAUUCACAAUGAGGUUACUGUAGUUUAACUAUACAUACACUUGGUCCCUAGCCAUUCGGGUCCUUGCGGUGCAUGUUGGCUGCAGCAGGUUCAUUGUAGGAAUAGGGUGUGCACUUAUAUGAAAUUUAUCUCCCUUAGUAGAUAGGGGCAUUAGUCCUAUGUGAUUUAUAAGACAGAGUUUAGAAGACCUUGGCCAGCACAGAGUUAAUAGCGGAAAGGAAUUUUCGAUAUUAGAAACUUGAGUUGAAUAAAUUUGACAUAUGACAGAUGAUGGGGUUUGACGAGUUAUUCCGUAACCUCCGUCUAGUCGGGACAGAAGGACUGUUCACACGGUAACCGUACCAAGAGGUUCAGUAUUCUAUUCUAUUAGAAUGCCACUACACGCUGCUAGGCAUCACUGGUGGAUUGUGAGACUCAUGAGAAUUAACUAGAUGAUCGAUAAUUCUCAUCGGGCUGAGUUGGAAUUGUUCCGAUCCACUGAAAGGAGUUUCAAUGAUAUUGUUGAUAGUGAUCAAAAUAUAUCUCACUAUUAGAUAAAAUAGAACCUAUGGGGUGACACACAUAAGAGGUUGUGACUGAUCAGAUAGCUAGAUUGUGAUUUUUGAAUCGUCAAAGGACCUAAUUGUCAAUAUGUUGAUAAUUAGACUAAUUUGUAAUUGUCACUGGUGGAGUGUUUGAGUGUUUUCGGUGCAAACCGGGCGCAAAAAUGGACUCCGAAAUGUUAAAUCUAUCAAAGCUGCAGAUUUUGUAUUGAGUAUCGGUACUGCAAUCUGCGUAUUGGUACGCAAUAAAAAAUGGAGAGAAACAAAUUCUCGAGUUUUGAGGAACUGAACCUGAGUAUCGGUACAGAUUUUGUAUUGUGUACCGAUACUAGGAUCUGGGUACCGGUACGCAAUAGAAAACAUAAGAACCCGACGUGUGGAUUUUGAGGAACUGGAUUUUAGGUACCGGUACUAAAUGCUUGUGUACCAGUACGCCAAUUCGAGUACCGAUACGAAAUUUUGCAAAAUAUAGUUUUGAUGAGUAUUUUGUUAAAUUCAGGUAGGGGCCUAUAUAAAGGGGAGCUGUAGUACACCGGAUGUUCAAUAUAAAAGUAAGUGUAAAUAAAAAGAGUAUAAGAUACUAUUUUUUUGACUUAGAAAAAUAAAUAAUAAUUUAGAAAUAAUUUAUGGUGAAAUUGGAAUGAAAACAGAAGAUUUAGAAUUUUCUGUAAGGAACGGGACUUAUAUUUCAGCUAAAAAAUGCAGUGUCAAAAAAUUAUAAAAAUUUGAGAAUAUGUCGAAACUAUUUUUCUGAUGCCAGAUUUAAAUAUUCGUAUCAUUCGAAUACCCAAGCAGUGAAAAUGGAGUCUAACAACAAUCUGAUAAAGAUUUUAGUUGGUAGAUUUUCGGUGAUAAAAAAUGAUUCAAAACUGAAAAGUUAAGAUCAUGCACAUCUGACUGACUCUAAUUGAGCAUUCUUGUCAAAUUUGAGCACAAACCGACAUUCAGAAGGACUCCAACUAAAAGUAUCAGAUUUGAAUUUGACUAAAGUGUAAAUUGUAAUAGUGUUGGGGAGCCUAUAUGUAAACCCACACCACCUCUCUUUCCCUGAUUUAUGACCAACACGAGAGAAGUGAGUAGAGGGCUUCUCUUUCUCUUUAGAUCACACUCUCUCUCUAGCUCACAUCUCUCCUUAUCUUGAAAACAAAGGAUAAGCCAAGAAAUCAAAGAAUCCCCAAAGAAAACGCAAUAGCCAGUCGUAGACCGACGAUCAGUAGGAUCGCCAGCCCAAUCAGCAUCACAAUAGGCACGAAGUUGAGGCUUGGAAGAGGAAGAAAAGAAUAGACUUUGAUGAAUACUUCCUCGCAAAUAGCGCAAGAUGCGUAAAAGAGCAGCAUAGUGAACAGAAGUAGGCGCUUGCAUAAAUUGACUAACAAUAUGAACCGCAUAAGCAAUGUCAGGGCGAGAUAUAGUGAAAUAGACUAACGCACCAACUAGCUCACGAUAACGCGUAGGAUUAGUGAGAGGUUCGCCCAUAGUUGGAGUUAGUUUUUGGUGGAGCUGCAUAGGAGUACUCACAGUGUCAGUGUCAGUGUCAGUGAGCUCAGCACGAGAUAGCAAGUCAGCAGUGUAUUUUUUGUUGAGACAAUAUAUAUCCUCGAGGACUAUAUGCCACUUCAAUCCCCGAAAAAUAUCGAAGAGGGUCAAGAUCUUUCAUGUCAAAUUGUUACUGGAGGUAGGAUUUAACAGAACGAAUACAAUCAGGAUCAUCGCCAGUAAUUAUCAUAUCAUCAACAUACAAAAGUAAGGCAGUGAGCCCGCGAGUAGAAGUAUGAAUAAAUAAGGCAUGAUCAUUCUCACUUUGAUGAAAUCCAAAAGAAAGAAUAGCUGACUGAAAUUUUUGAAACCAAGCUCGAGGAGCUUGUUGAAGCCCAUAUAAAGCCUUCCGAAGCCAACAAACAUGAACGGAUGAAUGGGAAAGACCAGGAGGUGGUUGCAUAUAAACUUCUUCAUGAAGAUCCCCAUGUAAGAAGGCAUUUUUUAACAUCAAGUUGGUAAAGAGGCCAGCUACGAGAAGCAGCAAGAGCAAUAAGGAUGCGAACAGAGGUCAUCUUAGCAACAGAAGCGAAUGUUCCUCAUAAUCAAUGCCAUAUUCUUGAGAGAACCCUCGAGCAACUAAACGAGCCUUAUAGCGAUCAAUUGAGCCAUCAGAAUUUAUCUUGACUUUAUAAAUCCACUUACAACUAAUUGGAGUCUUGCCAAGCGGAAGAGGAACUAGUUCCCAGGUACCAUUAUGAUGAAGGGCAGUAAGUUCUGUGGUCAUUGCAUCUCGCCAUUCAGAAAUGGAAACGGCCUGGCGGUAUGUACGUGGUUCCUGGAUAUUAGAAAUAGCUGCAAGAAAAGCAUGAUAUCGUGGAGAAAAAGAAGGAGAGGCAAGACAACCAAAAAAUUGUGUGGGGCGGCGAGUACACAGUGGAUAGCGGCGCUCAGCAGUCGUCUGAUCGUCGGAAGGAACAGUAAUUGGUGGGUCAUCAGGUGGUGCCGGUACUAUAGAAACUUCUGCAGAAGACAAGAGAUUCGCAUGCGACGAGCAGUUGGAUCAUAACAUCUGUACCCUUUAUGCUCAAGACUAUAUCCUAAGAAAACACAAAUUGACGAUUUCGGAGUUAGUUUGGUUCGUUCAUGCGGAGGCAAGAGAACAAGACAAGUGCAGCCAAAAAUACGCAAAUGAGUAUAAAAUGGUGAUUUAGCAUACAAUCGUUCACUAGGAGAAAAGCCAGAGAAAAGACUAGAGGGCAUAAUGUUAAUCAGAUAAACUGUGGUAGAAACUGCAUCAGACCAAAAUUGUUUAGGCACAGACCUAUCAAUUAGAAGAGAGCGAGCAGUUUCAAGGAUAUGUUGGUGUUUACGCUCAGCAACACCAUUUUGUUGAGGAGUAUAAGGACGAGAGUUGCGGCAAAGUACCAUGUUUAGCGAGAAGUUGGCGAAAUUCAUUUGAAAGAUACUCACCACCAGAAUCAGAGCGGAAAGUUUUAAUGGUGGCACCAAAUUGAGUUUGAACCAUGGUAGAGAAAUUUUGAUACAAUUGAAAAAGUUCAGAUUUGUUAUGCAUAAAAUAAACCCAAGUAAAGCGUGAGUAAUCGUCAAUGAAAAUAACAUAAUAUUUAUUUCCAACACGGGUUGAUAUAGGUGCUGGUCCCCAAACAUCAGAGUGAAUAAGAUCAAAUGGUGCACUUGAAACAGAAUUGCUAACAGGAAAAGGUUUAAUGGAUUGUUUAGCAAGUUUGCAUCUAAUGCAAGAAACAGAUUCAGAAUUAAAAACAGGGCGUAAUACACCACUACGAACUAAAAUAGUAAACUUAUCAGAAGAUAGAUGACUGAGACGACGAUGCCAUAGAUCAGAAUUUGAAGGUGUAGCAAUAUUUACUGAGUUAAUUUUAGGAGGAAGGUGCAGAUAGUCCAUGUAGUACAGGCAGUCACGUCUAUGGCCCUGUCCAAUCAAAGUCCCGGUCCGACGAUCCUACACAUGACAAGAAGAAGAAUAAAAGGUCAUUGUGCAAUCAUGAUCAGUAAUUUGGCUAACAGAUAAUAAGUUAAGAGAGAGUCGUGGUAUAUGUAGGAUAGAGGGAAUAGUAAAGCAUCCUGAAGUAUCAGAUUUAGGUAAAACAACACCACUAUAUUGACAGAAAGAGAGGUACCAUCAGCAGUAAAAAUGUGUGAAGGUGAAUUUAAUUAAGAAGGUGAAGAAAGUAAAGAAGCAUGUAGUGUCAUAUGAAAUGAUGCGCCGGAGUCUAAAAUCCAGGAAUGUUCCGAAGUACCUCCAGGACUAGUCAUACCAAAACCUGAUGGCGUAGAUGGAAAGAUAGAGGAGGACUGCCCUGACGAAGUGGAUGGAGUCAACUGGUGUUGCUGAAACAUCUGCAGUAGUUGAGGAAGACUCAAUUGAAUAGUUGAAGGUUGCUGCUCUGUAGAUGACUCGUUUUUGACCGGAGGAACAGAAGGAGCAGAUGCAACAGUAGGCAUAUUACGAGAGGAUCGUAAAUGCUGAUCUACCCAUUUCGUUUUUCGGCAAUCUUGAAUUGAGUGGCCCUAAAGAUGACAGUAACGACAUUGAAUGCUCCGUUUGUCUUUUCUAGUACCAGGAUUUGGAAUGUAACUAGAAGGCGAUUGAUGAUGAGAAGUAGGCACUGGCACAGGAGGUGGAUUGGUAGGACCAUGAGCAGCAAGAACAUUAGGCAUAGCAGAAGCAGAGGAACUCAAAACUCGAAGACGUGUCUCCUCGGCAAUCAAUUCCGCGAGAGCCACAUCAGUAGUAGGGAAGGGAGUUCGAUGGAGUAGUUGGCCACGUAACGCUUCAAACUCAAGUCGUAGGCGCAUAAGAAACUGGAACAAUCGUUGUUGAUCACACACCUUCUUUUGCUUGAUAGUACACUGACAAGCUGAGCAAGUGCGACACAAGGGUUCAUCCAUGGUCGCUAGUUGACGCCAACGAGCCUGCAUAAAACUGUAAAACUCUUGGAUACUAUGCUCACCUUGAUGAGCCAUGGAGAUCUCUUGAAACUCAGCAUACGAUUGAGCAUAGCUAGACUGCUCAUACAUCUGUCGAAGAAGAGACCACAUCUGGUAAGCGGUGGACAAAUUGAUAAGCUGCAUCCGAAUGUCUAUGUUUACCGAUGUAGAAAUAAUUCUACGAGCACGUCGAUCAGCAACAAGCCAGUCAUUGAGUUUAGAAUCAUCGGUUGGUGGACCAGCACCAUCAAUAUGUCCAGUAAGAUCGAGAGCAUCAAACAAGAGUUGAAUGGACACCGACUAUUCACGAUAAUUAGGCCCGGAGAGUUUAACAUCGAGCUGAGCAAUAGUCGGUGUAGGAACCUGUACAGGCGGCAUCGAUGGAGGUGCCGGUGUAGGAACCUGUACAGGCGGCAUUGAUGGAGGUGCAGAUGUCAUAGCAGGACCAGAUCUAGAGAUACUGUAAGGUACCGGACUUCUAAAACUAUGAAGUUACGAUGUACAUUUAAAUGGUUCCGGUGAGGUUGCGGUGGAAUGUAACAUACCGGAUUUUAAAUGUAAAAGUGAAAAUAAAUAAAAAUAGCAUGAGAUACUAUUUUUAUUGGAUUUAGAGAAGUGAAAUAUAGGUUGGGAAUGACCUGUGCUGAAAUCGGAGCGAAACAGAAGAUUUAGAAUUUUCUGUGAGAAACGGGGCAGAUAAAUUAGCAGAAAAUGCACAGUGUCAGAAAAUUAUGAAAACUGGAGGAUAUUUCAGAAUUAUUUUUAUGAGGCUAGAUUUAAAGUUUCAUGCCAUUCUGACACCCGGAAAGUGGAAAAUAAAAUUCGACAGCUAUCUGAUAAAAAUUACAGUUCGAUAGAGUUUCGGUGACCAAACGGGGUCGAAACUGAAAACUUAAGAUAUAUUCCUACUCAGUACGUUAAACCGAACCUGCCUAUCAAAU
rnacentral:lncRNA from 1 species